UACGUAGGGUGCGAGCGUUAAUCGGAAUUACUGGGCGUAAAGCGUGCGCAGGCGGUUCGUUGUGUCCGUCGUGAAAGCCCCGGGCUUAAACCUGGGAACUGCGAUGGAAACUAGCGAGCUGGAGUGUGGCAGAGGGGGGGUGGAAUUCCGCGUGUAGCAGUGAAAUGCGUAGAGAUGCGGAGGAACACCGAUGGCGAAGGCAGCCCCCUGGGCUAACACUGACGCUCAGGCACGAAAGCGUGGGGAGCAA
rnacentral:rRNA from 1 species